AUGCAGUCGAGCGCCCCGCAAGGGGAGCGGCAGACGGGUGAGUAACGCGUGGGAUUCUACCGUGCCCUACGGAAUAGCUCCGGGAAACUGGAAUUAAUACCGUAUACGCCCUACGGGGGAAAGAUUUAUCGGGGUAUGAUGAGCCCGCGUUGGAUUAGCUAGUUGGUGGGGUAAAGGCCUACCAAGGCGACGAUCCAUAGCUGGUCUGAGAGGAUGAUCAGCCACAUUGGGACUGAGACACGGCCCAAACUCCUACGGGAGGCAGCAGUGGGGAAUAUUGGACAAUGGGCGCAAGCCUGAUCCAGCCAUGCCGCGUGAGUGAUGAAGGUCUUAGGAUUGUAAAGCUCUUUCACCGAUGAAGAUAAUGACGGUAGUCGGAGAAGAAGCCCCGGCUAACUUCGUGCCAGCAGCCGCGGUAAUACGAAGGGGGCUAGCGUUGUUCGGAAUUACUGGGCGUAAAGCGCACGUAGGCGGAUAUUUAAGUCAGGGGUGAAACCCCGCAGCUCAACUGCGGAACUGCCUUUGAUACUGGGUAUCUUGAGUA
rnacentral:rRNA from 1 species